rnacentral:rRNA from 1 species
CCCUUAGAUGUUCUGGGCCGCACGCGUGCUACACUGAGUGGAUCAGCGGGUCAGGUUGCGCGAAAGCGUUUCCUAAUCUUUAAAUCCGCUCGUGAUGGGGAUUGACGGUUGCAAUUUUCUGUCAUGAACGAGGAAUACCUUGUAAGCGCGGGUCAUCAUCCCGCGCUGAAUACGUCCCUGCCCUUUGUACACACCGCCCGUCGCUACUACCGAUUGGAUGGUUUAGCGAGAACUUUGGACCGGAGCUCGGGUGGUCAGCAAUGGUCGCCCGAGAUGUCUGGGAAAUCGUUCCAGCUUGAUCAUCUAGAGGAAGUAAAAGUCGUAACA